CAAGGAGGAGCUCAGGACACAAUCAGGGACCACGCACUACAGAGCUGCCCAACUGGAUUCUACACUGGGGCUCACCUGGCCAUUCAGAAAAGGAAACUGUAACAAUCUGGUAAAUAAGAGGACCUAGUCAUCACGCGACACUCUUCACCUGACAGCAAUAGAGGACACACACAUAGGACAGAAGGAGGACCUAGUCAUCACGUGACACUCUUCACCUCCUAGUCAAGGAGGACCUAGUCAUCACGCGACACUCUUCACCUGACAGCAAUAGAGGACACACACAUAGGACAGAAAUGAACC
rnacentral:lncRNA from 1 species